rnacentral:antisense_RNA from 1 species
AAAUUGAAGUUGAAGUAUAAGGAGAAUUUUUACAUCACCCAGGUUCUAAUUUGGAAGGUUUCUAACAGCCCUCUGUCCUCUUCUGGUGCUCACUGUGAAAGAAUUUGCACCCUGCAACAUUAAGUGUUUGUGCUAGAAUCCACUUCUGAUGUUGGCUGCUCUGACACAGCUUCCAUUUGGCAGGGUCUCACUCUGUCGCCCAGACUGCAUUGCAGUGGGGUGAUCUCGGCUCAUUGCAACCUCUGUCUCCCGGAUUCAAGCAAUUCUCCUGCCUCAGCCCCCC